rnacentral:lncRNA from 1 species
CCCAGAGUUUGGUCCAGUGGUAACACAGACAACUCUAAAACAUAUUUACAUGGAGACACUAUUAUAUGUCUGAAUGUAAUUCUAUCACUGUUACCAUGGAGAUACUAUUAAUGUUCGAUGGUAAUUCUAUCACUGUUACCAUGGAGAUACUAUUAUAUGUUCUGAUGUAAUUCUAUCACGGUUACCAUGAGAUACGAUUAUAUGUUCGGAAUGUAAUUCUAUCACGUGUUACCAUGGAGAUACUUUAUAUGUUCUGAUGUAAUUUCUAUCACUGUUACCAUAGAGAUACAUUAUAUUUCUGAAUGUAAUUCGAUCACUGUUACACAUAGAGAACUAUUAUAUGUCUUGAAUGUAAUUCUAUCACUGUUACCAUAGAGAUACGAUUAUAGUUCUGAGUAAUUCAUCACUGUUACCAUGAAACUAUUAUAUGUUCUGAAUGUAUUCUAUCACUGUUACCAUGGAGAAUACUAUAUAUGUUCUGAAUGUAAUUCUAUCACUGUACCAUGGAGAUACUAUUAAUAGUUUCUGAAUGUAAUUCUAUCACUGUUACCAAUGGAGAUACUAUUAUAUGUUCUGAAUGUAAUUCUAUCACUGUUACCAUAGAGAUACUAUUAUAUGUUCUGAAUGUAAUUCUAUCACUGUCUGUCUCCAUCUUCUUCCCACUUGAAGGAAUAAACAUCUAUAAUGAAUGAAGCCUGUGAGAGUCUGGUGUUUUGUUCUCAUGGUGUUUAAAUGUAACCAGUGACUCAAAAUGUUCCAAUUCAACAUUAAACAACGUUAUUUGAGCUAAAAUAUAAAGGAUUGAAAGCAUUAUUUUAGUGUUCAGUUAUUCAUUCAAACUUUGCCAUGACUAUGUGUCAAACCAGUCCAGCAUACACAGCUCACCAUGUCUCUAAACAUACC